CAAUAGCGUAUAUUAAAGUUGUUGCAGUUAAAAAGCUCGUAGUUGGAUUUCAGGCAGGAGCGACCGGUCACACACUCUGUGUGUGAACUUGUGUUGUCUCUGGCCAUCCUUGGGGAGAUCCUGUUUGGCAUUAAGUUGUCGGGCAGGGGACAUCCAUCGUUUACUGUGAAAAAAUUAGAGUGUUUAAAGCAGGCUUAUGCCGUUGAAUAUAUUAGCAUGGAAUAAUAAGAUAGGACUUCGGAACUAUUUUGUUGGUUUGCGUUACGAAGUAAUGAUUAAUAGGGACAGUUGGGGGUAUUCGUAUUUCGUUGUCAGAGGUGAAAUUCUUGGAUUUCCGAAAGACGAACUACUGCGAAAGCAUUUACCAAGGAUGUUUUCAUUA
rnacentral:rRNA from 1 species